UACGAAGGGGGCGAGCGUUGUUCGGAAUUACUGGGCGUAAAGGGCGCGCAGGCGGUCCUUCAAGUCAGAUGUGAAAUCCCCGGGCUCAACCUGGGAACUGCGUUUGUGACUGUAUGACUAGAGUACGGUAGAGAGGGGUGGAAUUCCUGGGUGUAGCAGUGAAAUGCGUAGAUAUCAGGAGGAACAUCGAUGGCGAAGGCAGCCCCUUGGACCUGUACUGACGCUCAUGCACGAAAGCGUGGGGAGCAAACAGG
rnacentral:rRNA from 1 species